rnacentral:rRNA from 1 species
AGAGUUUGAUCCUGGCUCAGGACGAACGCUGGCGGCGUGCCUAAUACAUGCAAGUCGAACGCUUCUUUUUCCACCGGAGCUUGCUCCACCGGAAAAAGAGGAGUGGCGAACGGGUGAGUAACACGUGGGUAACCUGCCCAUCAGAAGGGGAUAACACUUGGAAACAGGUGCUAAUACCGUAUAACAAUCGAAACCGCAUGGUUUUGAUUUGAAAGGCGCUUUCGGGUGUCGCUGAUGGAUGGACCCGCGGUGCAUUAGCUAGUUGGUGAGGUAACGGCUCACCAAGGCGACGAUGCAUAGCCGACCUGAGAGGGUGAUCGGCCACAUUGGGACUGAGACACGGCCCAAACUCCUACGGGAGGCAGCAGUAGGGAAUCUUCGGCAAUGGACGAAAGUCUGACCGAGCAACGCCGCGUGAGUGAAGAAGGUUUUCGGAUCGUAAAACUCUGUUGUUAGAGAAGAACAAGGAUGAGAGUAACUGUUCAUCCCUUGACGGUAUCUAACCAGAAAGCCACGGCUAACUACGUGCCAGCAGCCGCGGUAAUACGUAGGUGGCAAGCGUUGUCCGGAUUUAUUGGGCGUAAAGCGAGCGCAGGCGGUUUCUUAAGUCUGAUGUGAAAGCCCCCGGCUCAACCGGGGAGGGUCAUUGGAAACUGGGAGACUUGAGUGCAGAAGAGGAGAGUGGAAUUCCAUGUGUAGCGGUGAAAUGCGUAGAUAUAUGGAGGAACACCAGUGGCGAAGGCGGCUCUCUGGUCUGUAACUGACGCUGAGGCUCGAAAGCGUGGGGAGCAAACAGGAUUAGAUACCCUGGUAGUCCACGCCGUAAACGAUGAGUGCUAAGUGUUGGAGGGUUUCCGCCCUUCAGUGCUGCAGCUAACGCAUUAAGCACUCCGCCUGGGGAGUACGACCGCAAGGUUGAAACUCAAAGGAAUUGACGG